rnacentral:rRNA from 1 species
GUCUAUGGCCAUGCCGCCCUGAACGAGCCUAAUCCCAUCUGAUCUUGGAAGCUAAGCAGGGUUAGUACUGGUUAGUAUUUGAAUGGGAGACCACCUAAGAGUACCAGGUGCUGUAGGCA